rnacentral:tRNA from 1 species
GGGGCUAUAGCUCAGUGGUAGAGCACUUGCCUUGCUUGCAUGAGGCACUGGGUUUGAUCCUUAGCACCA